UACGUAGGGUGCAAGCGUUAAUCGGAAUACUGGGCGUAAAGCGUGCGCAGGCGGUGAUGUAAGACAGAUGUGAAAUCCCCGGGCUCAACCUGGGAACUGCAUUUGUGACUGCAUCGCUGGAGUGCGGCAGAGGGGAUGGAAUUCCGCGUGUAGCAGUGAAAUGCGUAGAUAUGCGGAGGAACACCGAUGGCGAAGGCAAUCCCCUGGGCCUGCACUGACGCUCAUGCACGAAAGCGUGGGAGCAAACAGG
rnacentral:rRNA from 1 species